rnacentral:rRNA from 2 species
UACGAACCGUCCAAACGUUAUUCGGAAUUACUGGGCUUAAAGGGUACGUAGGCGGCGCUGUCAGUCGGGUGUGAAAUCCCACGGCUCAACCGUGGAACUGCGCCCGAUACUGCAGUGCUUGAGGGAGACAGAGGUAAGCGGAACUGAUGGUGGAGCGGUGAAAUGCGUUGAUAUCAUCAGGAACACCAGUGGCGAAAGCGGCUUACUGGGUCUCUUCUGACGCUGAGGUACGAAAGCUAGGGGAGCGAAGGGG